UACGUAGGGACCGAGCGUUGUCCGGAAUCAUUGGGCGUAAAGAGCGUGUAGGCGGCUUGCUAAGUCUUGCGUGAAAUCUCGGGGCUCAACCCCGAGCGGUCGUGGGAAACUGGCAGGCUAGAGUGCGGGAGAGGAGCGUGGAAUUCCCAGUGUAGAGGUGAAAUUCGUAGAUAUUGGGAAGAACACCGGUGGCGAAGGCGGCGCUCUGGACCGAGACUGACGCUGAGGCGCGAAGGCGUGGGGAGCAAACAGG
rnacentral:rRNA from 1 species